AGAAAUAGGACAGCAGCCAUUCCAGGUAGCAGGGGAAUGGCCCUUCCUCACUUUCUGACGAUUUUUUUUUACGCUCUUCUGUCUUUGGGGAAAGCGGCAGGCUAAGGAAAACCGGGAAGCCACGCAGACCUCUGCCUGUGACACAGCACGUGGGCUGGCCUCUGGCAACUGACAGAGGGAACAUUGCUGCUGAUGCGAAGAAAAGUCAUCAGAGAUUCUAAAAAAUAACGACUAUGGCGGAUAAGCAAGGAGGGACAGGAGGUGACCAAGGCCACAGUGGGGAGAGACCUAGCAGAGAGAGCACCCACCUCAAUCAGGCCACAGCCGGGACGGAGGUUCUGAGCCACGUCUCCUGAGUUCAUUUACUCGGUGGAAGUCAAUCUUAAUUGUCAAUUCGAUGAGAUUUUUAAUCGCCAUGGAAACAGACCUCUGAGCAUGUCACGGAGACAGUUUCUAUAUCAGGUUAAUCGAGGUGAGAAGAUCCAUGCUCAGUAUGGGUAUCAGACGAGAAAGAAAGAAAGAAA
rnacentral:lncRNA from 1 species